rnacentral:rRNA from 1 species
CCUACGGGAGGCAGCAGUGGGGAAUAUUGCACAAUGGGGGAAACCCUGAUGCAGCGACGCCGCGUGAGUGAAGAAGUAUUUCGGUACGUAAAGCUCUAUCAGCAGGGAAGAAAAUGACGGUACCUGACUAAGAAGCCCCGGCUAACUACGUGCCAGCAGCCGCGGUAAUACGUCGGGGGCAAGCGUUAUCCGGAUUUACUGGGUGUAAAGGGAGCGUAGACGGCAGCGCAAGUCUGGAGUGAAAUCCCAUGGCUUAACCAUGGAAGUUCUUUGGAAACUGUGCAGCGAGAGUGCAGGAGAGGUAAGCGGAAUUCCUGGUGUAGCGGUGAAAUGCGUAGAUAUUAGGAGGAACACCAGUGGCGAAGGCGGCUUACUGGACUGUAACUGACGUUGAGGCUCGAAAGCGUGGGGAGCAAACAGGAUUAGAUACCCGAGUAGUC